AUACGGAGGGGGCUAGCGUUGUUCGGAAUUACUGGGCGUAAAGCGCGCGUAGGCGGACCUGUAAGUCGGGGGUGAAAGCCCGAGGCUCAACCUCGGAACUGCCUUCGAUACUACAGGUAUUGAGUCCGAGAGAGGUGAGUGGAAUUCCUAGUGUAGAGGUGAAAUUCGUAGAUAUUAGGAAGAACACCAGUGGCGAAGGCGGCUCACUGGCUCGGUACUGACGCUGAGGUGCGAAAGCGUGGGGAGCAAACAGGAUUAGAUACCCCAGUAGUCC
rnacentral:rRNA from 1 species